UUAUGAGAGUUUGAUCCUGGCUCAGGACGAACGCUGGCGGCGUGCCUAAUACAUGCAAGUCGAACGCUUUUUCUUUCACCGGAGCUUGCUCCACCGAAAGAAAAAGAGUGGCGAACGGGUGAGUAACACGUGGGUAACCUGCCCAUCAGAAGGGGAUAACACUUGGAAACAGGUGCUAAUACCGUAUAACACUAUUUUCCGCAUGGAAGAAAGUUGAAAGGCGCUUUUGCGUCACUGAUGGAUGGACCCGCGGUGCAUUAGCUAGUUGGUGAGGUAACGGCUCACCAAGGCAACGAUGCAUAGCCGACCUGAGAGGGUGAUCGGCCACACUGGGACUGAGACACGGCCCAGACUCCUACGGGAGGCAG
rnacentral:rRNA from 1 species